rnacentral:rRNA from 1 species
UGGGGAAUAUUGCACAAUGGGCGCAAGCCUGAUGCAGCCAUGCCGCGUGUAUGAAGAAGGCCUUCGGGUUGUAAAGUACUUUCAGCGGGGAGGAAGGCGAUAAGGUUAAUAACCUUGUCGAUUGACGUUACCCGCAGAAGAAGCACCGGCUAACUCCGUGCCAGCAGCCGCGGUAAUACGGAGGGUGCAAGCGUUAAUCGGAAUUACUGGGCGUAAAGCGCACGCAGGCGGUCUGUCAAGUCGGAUGUGAAAUCCCCGGGCUCAACCUGGGAACUGCAUUCGAAACUGGCAGGCUAGAGUCUUGUAGAGGGGGGUAGAAUUCCAGGUGUAGCGGUGAAAUGCGUAGAGAUCUGGAGGAAUACCGGUGGCGAAGGCGGCCCCCUGGACAAAGACUGACGCUCAGGUGCGAUAGCGUGGGGAGCAAACA